rnacentral:lncRNA from 1 species
GGGGGACCCCCGCCCCACAAACCCUCUGUCUCUGUCUCUUGACUGUUGUCCAAGACUUGGUGUCCUGACCCUUGUACGUGUGUGAAUGUCAUCAGACCAGUCCUCUGUGUCCCCCAACACUCGCUCACACCUAUGUCCGCCCCUUGUGUUCGCCACACCCCGUGUCUGGCCGAUCCCCCCACCGCUGCUGCUAUCAACGCCAGAAUAAACACACUCCGUGGGUCUCAC